CUGAAGCUUGGUGCUUGCACCGAGCGGAUGAGUUGCGAACGGGUGAGUAACGCGUAGGUAACCUGCCUCUUAGCGGGGGAUAACUAUUGGAAACGAUAGCUAAUACCGCAUAAAAGUCGACAUCGCAUGAUGUUGACUUGAAAGGUGCAAUUGCAUCACUAAGAGAUGGACCUGCGUUGUAUUAGCUAGUUGGUGAGGUAACGGCUCACCAAGGCGACGAUACAUAGCCGACCUGAGAGGGUGAUCGGCCACACUGGGACUGAGACACGGCCCAGACUCCUACAGGAGGCAGCAGUAGGGAAUCUUCGGCAAUGGGGGCAACCCUGACCGAGCAACGCCGCGUGAGUGAAGAAGGUUUUCGGAUCGUAAAGCUCUGUUGUAAGAGAAGAACGAGUGUGAGAGUGGAAAGUUCACACUGUGACGGUAACUUACCAGAAAGGGACGGCUAACUACGUGCCAGCAGCCGCGGUAAUACGUAGGUCCCGAGCGUUAUCCGGAUUUAUUGGGCGUAAAGCGAGCGCAGGCGGUUAGAUAAGUCUGAAGUUAAAGGCUGUGGCUUAACCAUAGUACGCUUUGGAAACUGUUUAACUUGAGUGCAGAAGGGGAGAGUGGAAUUCCAUGUGUAGCGGUGAAAUGCGUAGAUAUAUGGAGGAACACCGGUGGCGAAAGCGGCUCUCUGGUCUGUAACUGACGCUGAGGCUCGAAAGCGUGGGGAGCAAACAGG
rnacentral:rRNA from 1 species